rnacentral:misc_RNA from 1 species
AAGAGUUUACGCAACUCCCACAUACUAUUGUGAACCUCACCUAUACCGUUUCCUCGGCGGGCGGCGGCAAGCCGCCCCUACCGGCCUUAGGGCUGGGCCCGCCGGAGGCACACAAACUCUUGGUUUUCGGUUGGCCUCUCUGAGUUGUACUUUUUAAAUAAGUCA